rnacentral:lncRNA from 10 species
GGACCGCCGAGCCAAGGCGCCUGGCUGCUAGCCAGAGGCAGCGUUCGAAAUACAACUGCCUCGGCGGCGGCGGCGCCCGGGUGCCACCCGGAGCCCCGCUCACGUGCUCCCGCCCGGCGGCGGGGUUAAAGGGACAGGCCGGGGAUCCCGGGCUGGCUCGCCGUGGGCCUAGCUCCACCCGCCUCUCGAGGUCACCCCUGGGCAGUUGUCCUGGGAAGGCGCGGGAACGUGACUGUCCCGGAGCCACGUUUCGGGGCUUGGCCUUUACCUGCGCCUCUACCGUGCCGAGCCAACACUUUGCAGGAAGCGUCUAGGCUGCACCUCAGGCAGCGCACCGGUUCACUGUGAGUGGGAAGGGACUGCAGUGGAGUGGGAGAGGUCCCCUGACAGCCGUACUCCGCCUCGGAAUGCCCUCACCACAGAGCCUGCGGGCGGGCGAGCGCGCACAUACACGGAGACAUGCAUGCAGAUACACACGAACACGCGUGUAAGCACAUGCACGCAGAUACACGUGGACACGGGGGCAUUCAUGCGCUGGUAAACACCCGCAUUUACACACACACACAUACACACAGGCACGCAGAUAGACAUGCACAUUCGCAGACACAUGCAAACAAUGUGCACACACAGAGCGCCCCAGCUUCUUCAUUGAACUUUUUUCUCCAGGAAAGACUAGAGGCAACCGAAGUUCCCUCCCCAUCCCCCUCCCCGGGAAUCCGAUGUUCCCAGGGUAAAGGGCACCUUGUAGAUUCCUAACACCACAAUUGCACUCACUGCCCAACUCUCCCUUCAGUUUACCUCGAUUUAACCUUCUGCCUGAGAACUCUCUUUCUGCCAAGUCCUAAUUUUAUGGCCUGGGCUGUUCUGAGUUAUGUGAACACCAUAAUGGCCACAGUCCGUUUUUAAAAGGUGGAGUACAUUUUUAAAUGUACCUCUUUUCAUCCUUGAAUAACACAAAACUCUGAAAAAAUUAGGUUCAGAUUUUCACACAUCACACCCAAAAUUAUUUUGGACUAAUUCCAAAAUAAAAACUUUCACCUGGGGAAGAAUUUAUUUUUUUCAAAGAUACAGACCACCGUGGAAUAAAAACGCCUACUUUGCAGCCCUAAGCAGGAGUUAGGCACCGCCAGGUUCCGCUGUGCAUGUGGAGGAGGCGCGUGUAAAUGUCUGCUUUGGCGCGGCAGCGCUGAUUGGUCCGCGUUGCCAUUUUAAAUCCAUUUCCAGCUGCCCUUUGCAGAGCUGGGACACUUUGCUGCACGUUGAGUGCUCUGCAGGAACCCAGGGUUUCUGCUGGGUCUGGGAACGCUUAGCUGUAAUGGAGAGAGAGAGCCUCCAUCCCUCCGGAUGGAGCCCAGCAGCUGACUGGGGAGGGAGGGGUCUAACAGGAACCAAAGGUUUUCUGUCAGGGCUUGGCUCAAAGAUGGUAUCUUCAUCAAAGGGAUUGAAGUUUCACCUAACGAUUACAGUGACAUUUCCUAACUGCCAAUCGUGCACAUUUAAAAACUAUCACAUAUUUGCACUGUGGUGUGCACAUUUCACAUACACGUACAAAAUAGGUUUUUGGGUUUGUGUUGUUUGCUCACUUUUUGCCAG